rnacentral:rRNA from 1 species
GAGUUUGAUCAUGGCUCAGGAUGAACGCUAGCGGGAGGCUUAACACAUGCAAGUCGAGGGGUAUAAGUAGCAAUAUUUAGAGACCGGCGCACGGGUGAGUAACGCGUAUGCAACCUGCCCUUUACUGGGGGAUAGCCCGUAGAAAUGCGGAUUAAUACCCCAUAGUUCUGUUAGAUCGCAUGGUUUGACAGAUAAAGUUUCGGUGGUAAAGGAUGGGCAUGCGUGACAUUAGCUAGUUGGUAGGGUAACGGCCUACCAAGGCUACGAUGUCUAGGGGUUCUGAGAGGAAGAUCCCCCACACUGGUACUGAGACACGGACCAGACUCCUACGGGAGGCAGCAGUGAGGAAUAUUGGUCAAUGGGCGAGAGCCUGAACCAGCCAUCCCGCGUGCAGGAAGAAUGCCCUAUGGGUUGUAAACUGCUUUUUCGCAUGAAGAACACUUCGGACGUGUCCGAAGCUGACGGUAAUGCGUGAAUAAGCACCGGCUAACUCCGUGCCAGCAGCCGCG